AAUAAGCACCGGCUAACUACGUGCCAGCAGCCGCGGUAAUACGUAGGGUGCGAGCGUUAAUCGGAAUUACUGGGCGUAAAGCGUGCGCAGGCGGUUUGUUAAGACCGAUGUGAAAUCCCCGGGCUCAACCUGGGAACUGCAUUGGUGACUGGCAAGCUAGAGUAUGGCAGAGGGGGGUAGAAUUCCACGUGUAGCAGUGAAAUGCGUAGAGAUGUGGAGGAAUACCGAUGGCGAAGGCAGCCCCCUGGGCCAAUACUGACGCUCAUGCACGAAAGCGUGGGGAGCAAACAGGAUUAGAUACCCUGGUAGUCCACGCCCUAAACGAUGUCAACUAGUUGUUGGGGAUUCAUUUCCUUAGUAACGUAGCUAACGCGUGAAGUUGACCGCCUGGGGAGUACGGUCGCAAGAUUAAAACUCAAAGGAAUUGACGG
rnacentral:rRNA from 1 species